rnacentral:rRNA from 1 species
ACUGCUCAGUAACACGUGGACAAUCUAACCUACGGAGGGGGAUAACCCCGGGAAACUGGGGAUAAUACCCCAUAGACUAUGGAUGCUGGAAUGCUUUGUAGUCGAAAGGUCCGCCGCCGUAGGAUGGGUCUGCGGCCGAUUAGGUUGUUGUUGGGGUAACGGCCCAACAAGCCUGUAAUCGGUACGGGUUGUGGGAGCAAGAGCCCGGAGAUGGAUUCUGAGACACGAAUCCAGGCCCUACGGGGCGCAGCAGGCGCGAAAACUUUACAAUGCGGGAAACCGUGAUAGGGGAACUCUGAGUGCCCGUUAAAUCGGGCUGUCCAUCAGUUUAAAUAACUGGUGAAGAAAGGGCCGGGCAAGACCGGUGCCAGCCGCCGCGGUAAUACCGGCGGCUCGAGUGGUGGCCACUAUUACUGGGCUUAAAGCGUUCGUAGCUGGUUUGUUAAGUCUCUGGGGAAAUCUUCCGGCUUAACCGGAAGGCGUCUCAGGGAUACUGGCAGACUAGGGACCGGGAGAGGUGAGGGGUACUCCAGGGGUAGGAGUGAAAUCCUGUAAUCCUUGGGGGACCACCUGUGGCGAAGGCGCCUCACCAGAACGGCUCCGACAGUGGGGGACGAAAGCUGGGGGAGCAAACCGGAUUAGAUACCCGGGUAGUCCCAGCUGUAAACGAUGCGCGUUAGGUGUAUCGAUGACCACGAGUCAUCGAGGUGCCGAAGAGAAAUCGUGAAACGUGCCGCCUGGGAAGUACGGUCGCAAGGCUGAAACUUAAAGGAAUUGGCGGGGGAGCAC